UUCUAUUCAAUGAUCAAUCAUAGGAAAUAAAAAUGACUAUUGUAGAAAAUAUUAUAAUAAUGCAUAAUGAUGUUAAGUUUUCAUAACAUGAUUAAUGUUUAUUAAAGAAUACUAUAUUGGUUCACUGUGACACUGCUAUAAAGAACUACCUGAGAAUGGGUAAUUUAUGAAGAAAAGAGGUUUAAUCGACUCACAGUUUCACAGGCUUAACAGAAACCAUGGCUAGGAGGCCUCAGGAAACGUAGUCAUGGCAGAAAGUGAAGACGGAACAAACAUGCCUUACCAUGGUGGAGCAGGAGUUGGGGGUCGGGAGACUGCCACACACUUUUAAACCAUCAGAUCUUGUGAGAACUCACUCACUAUCAGGAGAACAACACGGGGGAAACCUCCCCCAUAAUCCAAUCACCUCCCACCAGGUCCCUUCCCUGACAUGUGGUGAUUGUAAUUCGACAUGAGAUUUGGAUGGGGACAAAGAGCCAAACCAUGUCAAAUACCAAUUGAGUAUAAUUUCUAUUCAUUAAUUAGUAAUAUAUCAUGUUAUAUAUUUUAAUCAUAGGAGUUUAAAAACAUUUUUAAAUGGAUGAAGGUAUAAGAUCUCUUCCUCAGAAGAGUUCAUGUAGCACACACUCGCAGGAGAUGAAAAAAGUUAUCUUUCUGUCCUUUCCCAGACAGUGACGGAAACCUAAGUAAGUGGUGAGUCAUUGAUUAGGUAGCUGGUGCUCCUUCCAGCUAGACAGCUUCCUGGUCUGCUCUGAGAUGGAGUUUACAAAACUAGGCUUCCAGAAUGCUUCAUCACCACAUGACAGACAUAGAAUUGGGAUAAUUUAAUGCUGUCACUUAUUCUUCUGUUCACUUGACAAAUAUAGUGCAUCAGGCUAUGUUCUGAAUUCUGAGAGUACAAAACUAAAAAGAAGUAUCCUGCCUUCAAGAAAUUCAGUCCAUUUUGAGAGAAAACUCAAAUAUAAAUAAAUAAAUUAGCAGAUGGCAUAAUAGAGCAUAUAGGGAGGAGAGACGGCUUAGAGAUGAGGUCUAGUAAAUGGAGUCCAGUCAGGGGACAGAUACUACUCCAGUUAUUUUAUCAGGUAUAUUUUAAUGAACGCAAUUACUAACAUUAUUGGAGAACUGUUACAGCAAACAGAGGAACAUUAAAGUGUCAUAGUAGCAGUAACUGCAGGAAGCACUUAACAACCCCUUAGGCUAAGCUAACAGAGGAAAAAGGUUAAAAUUAUUGAUGUUUAAAAGCCCAAAGGAGAAGCUCUGUGGAGCUGGAGCUCUGACUUGUAAGAAGGGGGCACUGUAUGCCUGGAACAGAUGCCACAGAACCUCAGAGGAAGGACUGCAUAGAUCUCAUACUCAGAUUUGAGGAAGGACUACAAGAAAGAUGGUUCUGAUGCCAAUAAGAGGUCAUUAUGAGGCUGGAUCUGGGGUGUUAAAAAAAAGCUGAUAGUGAAAUCAACUGCCAUGAGUAAACUGUAAUCACCAAAGUCAAGAUGUGCCACCAUGAUGAUGCUGACAAAACCACAAAGCAGUCCUGACACUGGGAGCAAAACAAUAAGAUCCAAAACCCUUCUCCCUCUUCUGACUUUUCAGUCUUCCUCUAGCAUCUCCAGUGGCAGAAACUAAGAGGCAGCCAAUGAGCAAAGCCAAAAUAUGACUCGCAGAAUCCUUGCUAAGUAUAGGAAAAUGAGUUAUAAUCAGAGUAUCUUGGAAAAAAUAGUCUAUUAUGUGACACAGAAGGUAAACUUAAAUAAGAAAAUAAGGGCAGUAAAAUAAGCAGAAGCUUCAUAGGAGGGGACCCUGAGCUGAAGUUGAGAGAGUGAGCAAGGAUUUUAUAGUAUGGGGCAGAAGCUUGGGAUGAGCCAGGAAAAAGAAUCAUGGAGAGGGCUGGUUCACAAGAAGAGAAAACUAAGAUACAUGGACCACCAAGAAUAAUUGUGGGAAUUUAUAUUUGAAAGGUUAGGCAGAUAAAACUGCUUGAGUUAGAUUAUGAAAACCUGAAAACAUCACACCGUAAUUUGGAUUGAUAUUUUUACUAUGCAGCCAUUGAUGUUUGUAAAGGAGGCUAGUACUAUGGGGGUAGAUAUUGCUUAAAGAAGACUGACAUGGGUACAUGUUAUAGGAUCGAUUGGAAGGAAGAAGGAAAUAAUAAAUUAGAUUUUGGAAAAGGAACUAUUGUCAUAAUAUAGAAACAGUGAUGAAGGUGUCAACAAGAUAAUCAGUGCUGACAGAUUCCAAAAAUAUUGUAAAAGAAAAAAAUUAUCGUAACAUUUAAAUUUGUCUGCUAUAAAUGAAGAGAAAGGAUAACUUCUUGCAUAGUGAAUCAUAGUGCUAACAAUAUGUUAUUUUUAGAUUAAGAUGAAUGAAUAAAUUUAUACUUUGGAGCUGAACAUUUGGAUUAUAAUCAUCAAGAGUGAAGUGAUCAUAUAGAUAAUGGGAAUGCAUAAGAUCUGCAAGUGUAUAUUUUGAAAGACAAAGUCACACCAAAAUAAUCAGACCCUAAAGAGACAUCAUCCCAAGGUCUGGAAUUCUUGUCCUGCAACCAGGAAGAAUGAGGCACGCAAACAAGUGGAUGAUGAGCAAGGCGAAGAGAAGCAGUGUUGUGUUUAUUUGAACUAGAACAAGGUACUUGUUUUCAGAGAUGAGGCAGCAUCAUCGAGGUCACAAGGUGAUAAACUAAUAUGACAUUUUACAAAAAUGGAUAACUGAGAAAAGGAAUUGGUCAACAAAGAUGGAAGCUCAGCAGAGAAACAAAAAUGAUAUAAUGCUUGAAGUGAAAUUUGAUUUCAACAUAAAUGGAGUUAUAGAAGAUAUAGCUGACUGUCAGAAUGUGGACACUUGUCAUUCUAGAAGCUCUAGCUAUGCAGCUAGUAGACAGGAUGUGCAUGUCAUGAACCACUGAAUAUAAUGCUGUUGAAAAGGAUCAUGGGCUGGACGCAGUGGCUUAUAUCUGUAAUCCCAGCACUUUGGGAGGCCAAGGCAGGUGGAUCACUUGAGGUCAGGAGUUCGAGACCAGCCUGGCCAACAUGGUGAAAUGCUGUCUUCACUAAAAAUAUGAAAAUUAGCUGAGCAUGUAAAAUUAGCAUCUGUAAUCCCAGCUACUUGGGAGGCUGAGGCAGGAGAAUUGCUUGAACCUGGGAGGCGGAGGUUGCAGUGAGCCAAGAUCAUGCCGU
rnacentral:lncRNA from 10 species